rnacentral:rRNA from 1 species
UACGAGUGGUGCAAGCGUUAAUCGGAUUUACUGGGCGUAAAGCGUGCGUAGGCGGUUCAUUAAGUCGGUUGUGAAAUCCCUGGGCUUAACCUGGGAACUGCAGUCGAUACUGGUGGACUAGAGUGCGGUAGAGGGUGGCGGAACUCCGGGUGUAGCGGUGAAAUGCGUAGAUAUCCGGAAGAACACCGAUGGCGAAGGCAACCACCUGGGCCUGCACUGACGCUGAGGUACGAAAGCUAGGGGAGCAAACAGG